UUUUCCUUAUCUGAUGUCAAGUACACCACCACCACCACCACCACCACCUCUUCCUCCUCCUCCUACUACCACUACUACUAUUACUACUACCACUACUACCACCACUACUACUCCUAAAAAUAAUACUAAUGAAAGCUAUUCUCAGUAAGGGAGGGCCAGAGUAUGAUAGGCCUAAGGUUCUGGGUUGUCCUAAAACCACCAAACAUCUCAACACCUCAUCACCUCACCACCACCACCCAAACAACAGAGCAACACCAGGUGGAUUGGGUGGACUUAUCAGUGCAAAGGAAACUUAAACUCACAACGAGGAGAAAAAUGGCGGGCGAGCUGAGUUACGUGUGUGCUGCCAGGGAAGACAAGGCGGGGACAGAAGAUCGAGGCAUGGGAAAGGAAAAUAGAGACGAAAAAUAAAAUGGACAAUAUGAAUGAUUAAAAAUGGAUAAAGAGGACAAAAUAAGGACUAAAAUUGGACAUACUAGCAAAGAGAGGAAUAAUGAGGAGUGAACUAUGUCCAAGAAAAAUAAAGCAGAAUUGAAAAGGGUGAAAAUAACAGACAGUGCCAAAUAGAUGUUUAGUGAAGUGCCUUUCAUAACCAGUGACAGUGCCUGAUUGUGGCUGAAGAAAGUACAAUGAAAAGCUUGACUUGUUACUGAAAACCAUAUGCAGUGACGGUGCCUCAUCUAUGGACAGUGCCAUACAAGUUAGUGCCACGAAAAAUUCAAACAAAUAAACAAAACAAGCUCAGUAACAAAGAAGCACAUGAAAAAAAAAAAAAAUACGAAUAUGAAAAAUAAUAAACAUGAAGUACAUUAAAAUAGUGAUUCUCAUAAAAAAAAUGUGGAGGAAAAUAGUGAAAUUAAGAAGAUUAUAGUGAGAAAUGAGUGCCAAAAGGGAAAUUUUAAUGGGUGCCACAGGAAAGCAGUAGCAAUGAGGAAAAAUAUUAAUGUACAGUGCCAAAAGAAAAUAAUGUCAUCACAGUGCCACAGACAUUGCCCAGGAAGAGAAACACUAAGGUAUGUGAACAGUGCCAGAUUUACAGAACGAAGAAAAUAAUUACAAAUGUCUUAAAAAAAAUAUAUAUGAAAUUAAACUAAUAAA